GAACGCUGGCGGCGUGCUUAACACAUGCAAGUCGGACGAUGAAACAGGAGCUUGCUCUUGGGGAUUAGUGGCGAACGGGUGAGUAACACGUGAGUAACCUGCCCUUGACUCUGGGAUAACCUCCGGAAACGGAAGCUAAUACCGGAUACGAACUGCGAAGGGCAUCUUCAGCAGUUGGAAAGAACUUCGGUCAAGGAUGGACUCGCGGCCUAUCAGGUAGUUGGUGAGGUAACGGCCCACCAAGCCUACGACGGGUAGCCGGCCUGAGAGGGUGACCGGCCACACUGGGACUGAGACACGGUCCAGACUCCUACGGGAGGCAGCAGUGGGGAAUAUUGCACAAUGGGCGCAAGCCUGAUGCAGCAACGCCGCGUGAGGGAUGACGGCCUUCGGGUUGUAAACCUCUUUUAGUAGGGAAGAAGCGAAAGUGACGGUACCUGCAGAAAAAGCACCGGCUAACUACGUGCCAGCAGCCGCGGUAAUACGUAGGGUGCGAGCGUUGUCCGGAAUUAUUGGGCGUAAAGAGCUCGUAGGCGGUCUGUCGCGUCUGCUGUGAAAACCCGAGGCUCAACCUCGGGCCUGCAAG
rnacentral:rRNA from 1 species